rnacentral:rRNA from 1 species
UACGUAGGGUGCAAGCGUUUGUCCGGAAUUAUUGGGCGUAAAGAGCUCGUAGGCGGUCUGUCACGUCGGCUGUGAAAACCUGGGGCUCAACCCCGGGCCUGCAGCCGAUACGGGCAGACUAGAAUUCGGUAGGGGAGACUGGAAUUCCUGGUGUAGCGGUGAAAUGCGCAGAUAUCAGGAGGAACACCGAUGGCGAAGGCAGGUCACUGGGCCGCAACUGACGCUGAGGAGCGAAAGCAUGGGAGCGAACAGG